CAGACACAACAUCUUUGUUGGUAUGUGGUGCUGAGGAUCGAACCCGGGCCUCACGCAUGCCAGGCGAGCGCGCUACCACUUGAGCCACAUCCCCAGCCCUGACUGUUUGAUUUUUAAAAUGCUGGACUUCAAGCACAGAGGGAAGACUGAAAUCAAAACUGAGCAGAACAUCACCCCCCUGCAGGGGAAAUAUCAGGCAGUAUCAUGUACAUGUAAUCAGAGUCCCAGAAAAAGAAUGCCGCAGCAUAAAAAUCCCCAAAUGACAUAAGAAAAAUGUUAAACUUGAUGAAAAUGGCAAACCAUAAAUAUUACAAACUAGCAAAUCCCCAGUAGAAUAGGCACCCUGAAAACCUCACACAUGCACAGCAUAUUUAUACCAUGAGAAACCAGAGACAAAUCCUAAAAGAAGAAUGAAAAAAAAAAGAAGACUCAAGGAGAGGAGAGCGAGGGGAAGAUUGAUCACACAAGGAGGAGCAGUAAGAAUCGUCUCCAAGUCUUUCCAGAACCAGUACAAUGGAAUGAUACCCUUGAUGAGAAAAAAAAAAGAACCAUCAAUACUGAAUUCCAUAUCUAGUGGAGAGGUAUUUUGAAAAUGAAGGUGACAUAAAAACGUGUUCUGAUAAAUAAAAGAUGAGAGAAUGCAGUGUCCCUGGACAUGUAUAAGACAUGUUAAGGAAAACUCUUUGGGUGUAAGUACAAUGACACAAAUUGAAAACCUGUAGCUAAAGGAAGAAUUGAACAGUACAGAAGUGGUAGAUAGGUAGGGUAAGUAUAGAAGGCUAUUAUUUACUUAAAAGAUAUUUGACUCUUUAAAUAGUGAACAGCCUAUGGCAUUUUAUCACGUAAAGUUAUUUGAUUUAACUUAUAUUUUGAUUUCAUCAACAGCUACUUUGUAAAAAGCGAUCGCAUCCGUGUUCCUCAAGACCUGUUGUUUUCUUUUCUUAUAACAUCUUUGGGCAACUUGGUAAUUGUAGUCUCAUUAAGCGACUUUAAGGGCUUUUUUUUUCUCUUCUUGUUUCUUGAAGACAUUAUACAAAUAUUGUAUAUGAAGUUACAUUCUCUUUAUAAUGAUAGUCAUAUCUUGGUUCAAGAUCUAAGGUAACACAAGAAUUUUCUUCUUUGUAUUAUUCUCCACGGCUAAACUCAUUUUUAACGAUCGUUGAAAACCUUUGGAUAAACUUGAACCAUUUUCUUCUUUUUCUUCAAACCACAAUAAUUAUCAAACCAAUGCAUAAAUCAAAGCAUGUGGUUCAUUCCACAAAUCAUGACCCACAUGAUCAUUGAGAUUUCUGUCCUUCUGAAUCCUAUCAGGCUGGUGACGGUUAACGUGCAAUGAGAAACCUACUAAGACAUCUGCCCCUGGCCCUUGGAGGACAUCCCAUGUGCUGGCUCCUCUACCCAUCAGCUACCUCAUUUCUUUCCUCUCUCUUGGGAGCACAGGCUCUUCCUCUGUCCUUGGUGAAUUGGAAUUGAAAUCCUACAGAAUUGCAUUGUGAGAGUAACGGAUCGGAAGAGAUCUUUCCUGGCUGCCUACUUCUCCCUCCCAGGGAUCUGUAUUUAUUGCUUUAAUUAGAGCACCAAGCUGUGGGAGGAAAUGCAAGGCUUCAGUUCUUCUCCUGACAGCUUCAAACUGGGGAGGCAACUUGGAGAACUUUUUGCUGCAAACACACCAUCCGGAUAAUUAGUACUGUGCGGCUAAUAACUAAAAGAAGGGGGUGGGGGCAUGAGAUUCCAGGCGAGAACCUUUUAACAGACUUCAGCGUUCUAAAAUGAGUUUCCAAAAAAAAAGUUGUGGAUGAAAUGUUUGGGAAACUUUUUGUUGAAUGUGACUCAGUGUAUUAAUGUUCUCUUUGUGUGGAGGGAGGAUCGAGGUGUUGAUGUUCGUCUAACCUGAAGCAAAUGUCCUUGAAUUGCUGAGCUGGCUUUCUCUCAGUGUUGAAAGGAGAGAAUAAUGCCCUACAAUUACUCCUCCAGGGAGAAUUCAAUUUGCCAAGUGAUUAAGCCACCACCAAAUUGUUUCUAAGGCUAAUAACUGGCAAAGUGGGAGAAAGAAGGAAAAGAGUGAAGUAUUGGAAAACCUAAUAGGGAGCGAUCUCAAGCUGGAGCUUUAUUCAGUAGAGAAGCCUCAGUACUAAAACUCAGUUAACUCUGCAAGCUCCAUGUUUGGAUCUUGAAUUAACUGAAUGAACUCACGUCAUCUGCCCUAUUUUAUGAAGUCUUGGGGAUUGAACCCAGUGAUACUUUACAACUGAGAUACAACCCCAGCCCUUUUUAUUUUUUUUAAUGUUGAGACAGGAUCUCACUAAAUUGCCGAGGCUAGCUUUGAACUCGUGAUCCUCCUGCCUCAGCCUCCCAAGUGUCUUGGAUUAUAGGCGACUGUGCCUGGCUCAUACAUAUAUAUGGGAUCUGGUAUAUCGAAGAGAACUCUGUACUCCCAUGUUCAUUUAAACAUUGUAUAUUUUAAAUAGUUAAGAUGGGGAAUCAACGUCAGAGUCCAUCAUUGGAUGAAGAAUAAAGAAAAUAUUAUAUAUAACAACAAUGGAGUACUACUCAGUCUUAACAACGAUGGAAACCUUGUCAUUUGCAACAGCACGGGCAACUAAAGGGCACUAUGCUAAGCAACAUAACAUCAGGCACAACAAAACAAAUACUGCGUUAUCUCACUUACCCAUGGCUUCCAAAAACACCAAACUCAUAGAUAUUGAGAGCGGAAUGGUGGUUGCCAGAGAUGGGGUUUAGUUUCAUUCUUCUAUAUAUGGAUAACCAGUCUUCCCAGAAUCAUUUGUUUAAAAGGCUGUCUUUUCUCCAAUGUAUGUUUUGGGCACCUUUGUCGAGA